AAUAAAUUUACACGAAAGAGGUCCAAAAACAACAAACAUAAAAUAUAGAUAUGGACCACAAUAUACAACCCAACAGAAAGUUGUGAGCCCAAAGAAAAAGAAAAAAGCGAAGAAACAUGGACAACUUGCAUCCACCGCCGCCUUCUUUGGAAAGAUCCCAUCCAACCAACGUAAACCAGUCACCAGAAAUUAAGCCAUCCAAAGCUUCAGAAGCGGAGAAAAAUAAAAUUUCAACAUCUUCUAAGGAGCACCCUGCAGAUCUGCACCACAAACCGAAGGAAGCUUGUAGGGAAAAAAACUACAAGCAACAGUGCCAAUGCGGGGCAACUGAGGAACAGAGGUGGUGAAAGCACACGAGAAAAUCCGAAGCUCUACACACCUUCCCGUGAAUUGCAGUCAGUUAUCGAUAAAACUAGUAAUCAUAAGCUAACGAGGCUCUUGAGAUAGAGGUUUCGGAGACUGCCUUUAGUGGUCAGAAGAUUGGAGGGCUGGGAUGAUUGUUCAAAUUACUGGGUUUCUUCUGGCUAGUUACCUUGGGAUGUAAUGGAUGAUUUGACGAAGAGAUGUUUGGUGAAGAAUGGGAAGACGAUAACAGUACGAAGGACGUAGAAAUGACGCUCCAUGAUGGUUUUUAUCUCGAUAAUGGUGGGUUCGAUUGGCUCCGAUCUCUUUGAAUUUUCUUGAUGGAGUUCCGGAGGAGGUUAGAGAUUCAACCACCUGUAACCUGGUGUAAGAAGUGUUCUUUUUCCUACUAAUUAUCUGCCAUUAAUAAUCGGCAUUAAACUUCCAUGUGUGAGAUGUUUGUGCAUCAAUGCAAGUGGAACCUGUCUAACCAAGAAACUAAAAACAAAAUAGUUAUCAAAGUUUGAACCCACGGCUAGUCAUGGAGGAACUAGGACGUAGGGGCCAAAGUUCAUGAAAUGAUCAGGUUUUGAAGCGUCAGUUAGAAACCGAUGGCAUUACAUGAGACCAAGUUGAUCCGGGAAACCAGAAACAUGUACCUUGUGACACGAAAUCGGAUUGAUUUCGCAAUUGACAAUUACAGAACACGAGCGAGGAGAAA